UCGUCGUGGAUCGUGGACCGUCGUAGGGUCGUCACUUGCUUUGUCGCUCGUCCUCUUCUGGGGUCGGGUCCUCUUCGUCACCCAGUCGCCCUUGCGCUUUGAGAUAGUUAAUGGUGUCACUGAAGUUGAAGGAAUAGCAGAGGAGAAAACUACAGGUGCUGAAGCGGACGAAG